CCAGACUCCUACGGGAGGCAGCAGUGGGGAAUAUUGCACAAUGGGGGAAACCCUGAUGCAGCAACGCCGCGUGAGUGAAGAAGUAUUUCGGUAUGUAAAGCCCUAUCGGCAGGGAAGAAGGAGGACGGUACCUGACUAAGAAGCCCCGGCUAACUACGUGCCAGCAGCCGCGGUAAUACGUAGGGGGCAAGCGUUAUCCGGAUUUACUGGGUGUAAAGGGAGCGCAGGCGGCACGGCAAGCCUGAUGUGAAAGCCCGCGGCCCAACCGCGGGACUGCAUUGGGAACUACCGGGCUGGAGUGCCGGAGAGGUAGGCGGAAUUCCUAGUGUAGCGGUGAAAUACGUAGAUAUUAGGAGGAACACCAGUGGCGAAGGCGGCCUACUGGACGGUGACUGACGCUGAGGCUCGAAAGCGUGGGGAGCAAACAGGAUUAGAUACCCUGGUAC
rnacentral:rRNA from 1 species